UACGAAGGGGGCUAGCGUUGCUCGGAAUUACUGGGCGUAAAGGGCGCGUAGGCGGGUCGUUAAGUUGGGGGUGAAAGCCCAGGGCUCAACCCGGGAAUUGCCUUCAAUACUGGCGACCUUGAGUAUGGCAGAGGUGUGUGGAACUCCGAGUGUAGAGGUGAAAUUCGUAGAUAUUCGGAAGAACACCAGUGGCGAAGGCGACACACUGGGCCAUUACUGACGCUGAGGCGCGAAAGCGUGGGGAGCAAACAGG
rnacentral:rRNA from 1 species